GUACCAUAGGGUGUUGUCUGGGGGGGCUGUCAUUGGGAGUACCAUAGGGUUGUUGUCGUGGGUGGGCUGUCAUUGGGAGUACCGUAGUGUGGUGUCUGGGUGGGCUGUCAUUGGGAGUACCAUAGGGUGUUGUCUGGGGUGGGCUGUCAUUGGGAGUACCAUAGGGUGGUGCACUGUGUUGUCUGGGGUGGGCUGUCAUUGGGAGUACCAUAGGGUGUUGUCUGGGGUGGGCUGUCAUUGGGAGUACCAUAGGGUGUUGUUGCUGGGUGGGCUGUAUUGGGAGUACCAUAGGGUGGUGCACGGUGUUGUCUGGGGGGGCUGUCAUUGGGAGUACCAUAGGGGGGUUUGUCUGGGGUGGGCUGUCAUGGGAGUACCAUAGGGUGUUGUCGGGGGUGGGCUGUCAUUGGGAGUUCCAUAGGGUGUUGUCGGGGGUGGGCUGUCAUUGGGAGUACCAUGAGGUGUUUGUUCUGGGUGGGCUGUCCUUGGGAGUACCAUAGG
rnacentral:lncRNA from 1 species